GACGAACCGUGCGAACGUUGUUCGGAUUCACUGGGGUUAAAGGGCGCGUAGGCGGGUCAGCGAGUCGGGGGUGAAAUCCCACGGCCCAACCGUGGAAGAGCUUUCGAUACUGCUGGCCUUGAGGGAGGUAGGGGCGUGUGGAACUUCCGGUGGAGCGGUGAAAUGCGUAGAUAUGCGGAGGAACACCGAUGGCGAAGGCAAUCCCCUGGACCUGUACUGACGCUCAUGCACGAAAGCGUGGGGAGCAAACAGG
rnacentral:rRNA from 1 species